UUACAUGUCCUGGUUCCAGCCAGGAUGGGGUUAAUUUUUUGCAGUAUCUAGGAGGGGUCAUGGCUAGGACCUGGAAGUUGCUCUAUACCACUUCACAUCAUGGAUGGGGUAAGGGGAAUGGAGUUUCUUGCAGGAAGAUGAGGUUCCUUCUGGUUGAGGCUUUAUGGCUCUCCUCAGAAAAGAUGGGCACCCUCCAUCAGGAUUGUAGAAUGAGAAGAAAUCACCAGGAAUGUAUCUUUUUUUCUCUCUUUCUAGGUGAAGAAAUGCAUAACUUGGGUUAAUAAUGUUUUUGCUUUAACUAAGUUCCUUGCCAGUAAAAGGAAAAGAAAAACCAACAAACCUCAAACAAACAAAACAAACCAACCAAACACAAACCAUCAAAAGAGUCACCAACAAAAAUUAAAGAGAGGUGCUUUUUCUUUGGAGGAAGUAAAUUUUGCCUAAGGUUUUUGUCUUUUUUUGUAGUUUGUUUAUGGUCUCAGAAGGUCCCCAAGAACUUUCAGUCAGACUUUGGUUUUCUUACAAGUGGUUUCAUAAUAUUAUGGGAAAAACUGUCAACAGAAUGUCCAUUAAGAUCUUAUUCCUAUGCUCAUUGAGUAUUUUGCAUACGGAGUAAAGAUUGAGCAUGGUUCCAUUUUUCAUAGUAUGACUGUAAAGAGCUGUAGAUCCUGCUGAUAAUUUCAUACCGCCUCAAUAUCAUCUUCUUCAACCUUCCAAUUAGUGUCAAGGAAGUUUACUACUUCCUCAUUAAAGGGUACGCACAAUUUUAAUACAUAUUCUCAGCCCAAUCUUAGUAUUUCAGACAAUAAAGUAUCUCCAUGAAUCACUUUUGGAUACAGGACCCAGGCACUUCUGAGGGCACAGUUCUGAGCCUAUAAAGUUCAACUUUUGUCUUAAGGUGAGAAUGUCACCUUUGGGAAAAGUCUUUGUUUCUGACCUCUCCCCAUAGAUGCUGCAGAUGGCUGAAGACAUUCUUGGGCCAUAAAAGGUCAAAAAUUCCUUAUAUUGAUGUGUGACUUAGAACAGUUUGCCUUCCACAUUAGACACAAUUAUUUCUAGCAUUGCAAGACUGUAUAUUUACAUGGGUUGAAUGGUAAAGCAACAAUAAAGAAAGAAGAAAUAGCAGUCACUAGUAGUCAAGAGAGUAUGAUUCAAUUUAUUGACGGUGAUGGCAAAAAACUAAAUAUUGACCUUGGUAGAAAUUGCAAUGGAUUUACAGGAAUUAUCUAAUAUCUGUAUAACAUCUUUACAGAAAUUGUCAAAAUUACAUUUUACAGUUUUACCUUUGUGUAGGAUACAUGUACUGUUGUCAUUAGGACUAUAUAAGGCACGGGUUAUACAGGCUAAAAUUGUCAGAACAAGGCAAGAAUAGAAGUACAAACAACAAAAUUUUUUUGUCAGAGCACCAAA